UAGGGAAUCUUCCACAAUGGGCGAAAGCCUGAUGGAGCAACGCCGCGUGUGUGAUGAAGGGUUUCGGCUCGUAAAACACUGUUGUAAGAGAAGAAUGACAUUGAGAGUAACUGUUCAAUGUGUGACGGUAUCUUACCAGAAAGGAACGGCUAAAUACGUG
rnacentral:rRNA from 2 species